CUACGGGUUGCUGCAGGCGCGAAACCUCCACAAUGUGCGAAAGCAUGAUGGGGGAACCCCAAGUGUCUUCCUACAAGGGAGACUUUUGCAGUAUGUAAAAAGUACUGCGAAUAAGGGCUGGGUAAGACUGGUGCCAGCCUCCGCGGUAACACCAGCAGCUCAAGUGGUAGCCACGAUUAUUGGGCUUGAAGCGUCCGUAGUCUGUUUAGCAAGUUCUCUGUGAAAUCCUGUGACCCAAUCAUAGGGCGUGCAGAGAAUACUACUAGGCUAGAGGUUGGGAUAAGUUAGGGGUAUUCUUAGGGUAGCGGUGAAAUGCUAUAAUCCUGGGAGGACCACCAAUGGCGAAGGCACCUAACUGGAACAAGCCUGACGAUGAGGGACGAAAGCUAGGGGAGCAAACCGGAUUAGAUACCCCAGUAGUC
rnacentral:rRNA from 1 species